UACGUAGGGGGCAAGCGUUGUCCGGAUUUAUUGGGCGUAAAGAGCGUGUAGGCGGCUUUACAGGUCCGUUGUGAAAACUCGAGGCUCAACCUCGAGACGCCGGUGGAAACCGAUAAGCUAGAGUCCGGAAGAGGAGAGUGGAAUUCCUGGUGUAGCGGUGAAAUGCGCAGAUAUCAGGAAGAACACCCGUGGCGAAGGCGGCUCUCUGGGACGGUACUGACGCUGAGACGCGAAAGCGUGGGGAGCGAACAGG
rnacentral:rRNA from 1 species